rnacentral:lncRNA from 1 species
GGAGGACAAAAUUUGUGGCUAGAUCUGCUAAAGCUAGUUCAAUCCACAACCCUAUUUUCCGCUACAUUCACAGGGUUAUGGCUUGCAGCUUAUUCGGUCGGAAGGAAACGGGUACGGUUAGGACCGAUGAACUUUUCAUGUUAUGGGCUAUGGUUAACAAGUAUCAGGUAGACACGGGAUACUAUCUUUUAAGCCAUAUGGCAUAUGUUGCAACACAGGACGCUGGUCUUAUUGUGGUCGGGGG